AGUAAUGUCUGGGAAACUGCCUGAUGGAGGGGGAUAACUGCUGGAAACGGUAGCUAAUACCGCAUAACGUCGCAAGACCAAAGAGGGGGACCUUCGGGCCUCUUGCCAUCGGAUGUGCCCAGAUGGGAUUAGCUAGUAGGUGAGGUAACGGCUCACCUAGGCGACGAUCCCUAGCUGGUCUGAGAGGAUGACCAGCCACACUGGAACUGAGACACGGUCCAG
rnacentral:rRNA from 1 species